CCAGCCCCUCCCCCAGAGUUCACGGUCCACUGUUAUCCCACAGAUUUGUUUUCCCAUUGCUGGUUGAAGUUUCUAGUGAGAAAGUAAAAAACGCCAUUCUGAUCAUAAAUGUGUCUGUGCAGGGACACACAGGGCAUAACCUGACAAAUGUGUGGCAUCAACUGGCUUCUCCAAGGGACGCUACUGAGAAACUGGUUCACCAAGUCCCGGCCCAGGCUGCUGGUCCUGAUCGUGGGUUUGAAGCGAUCCCAGGUCUCACUCCUGAGGAGGAAGAGGAUGAAGCACACCAAAGCAUCAAAGGCUACAACAUGUAAUCACAUGCCACAUUUCAAGUGAGUGCUCGACCUAGAGUAACCCUGCCUGCAGUACUAAUGGAGGAGACCCUGGCCCCAGAAGAGCUGAGUCAUUACUCUGUACCAACUCCACAAGCUAAGAGCCAAAGCAAAAUGGAAAAAAAAAGGCGGGGUCACAGUUUGUUGUGAAAGCCAGUGCAACACAAAGGUUCAGACCCUCUAACGUUCAGAAUGCCUGACAUUCAGAACACCUAACUACCGUUCAGAACACCUUACAUUCAGAACACUUGACUAACAUUCAGAACACCUGACAUUCAGAACACCAGACUAACGUUCAGGACACCUGACAUUCAGAACACCAGACUAACGUUCAGGACACCUGACAUUCAGAACACCAGACUAACGUUCAGGACACCUGACAUUCAGAACACCAGACUAACGUUCGGACCCUUUCUUCCCAUACACGUUCUGAUUUAGGCCACCACACUGAGCGGGUUUUAUUUUUCAGUGCCAAAUACUUGGUGGACCAGAGGUGUUUUCGCUUUUGAUGAAUAAAAAUUGAGGUGUGUAUGUGUGGGAGUGAAUAAUGAGUGAAUGUUGCAGACUACUGACCUUUCCUAUUGAUGGAAAAGAGAAUGGGCGCAGUGGACAUCGAACUGAGCCAAUCCAAACGAUCCGAGAUUCCACUUACCUACAUCGGUCACGACUGUUUCAAAACUACACAUCUGAGAAUGUUACAGACAAAUACAAAUUACUGUACCAGAAGCUGCUGGAACUUUAUUGUGAGAGGGAAGCAAGUAGCUUCUUAAAUCCAGGAAUACUGCACUGUUACAGACACGUGUGUCAGUACUUCACUGAGUCCUGUUACAGACAUGUGUAUCAGUACUUCUCGGAGUCCUGUUACAGAGACGUGUAUCAGUACUUCACUGAGUCCUGUUACAGACACGUGUAUCAGUACUUCACUGAGUCCUGUUACAGACACGUGUAUCAGUACUUCACUGAGUCCUGUUACAGACACGUGUAUCAGUACUUCUAAGAGUCCUGUUACAGACAUGUGUAUCAGUACUUCUAAGAGUCCUGUUAGACACAUGUAUCAGUACUUCUCAGAGUCCUGUUACAGACACGUGUAUCAGUACUUCACUAAGUCCUGUUACAGACACGUGUAUCAGUACUUCACUGAGUCCUGUUAGACACGUGUAUCAGUACUUCUAAGAGUCCUGUUAGACACAUGUAUCAGUACUUCUCAGUCCUGUUACAGACACGUGUAUCAGUACUUCACUGAGUCCUGUUACAGACACGUGUAUCAGUACUUCUCAGAGUCCUGUUACAGACACAUGUAUCAGUACUUCUGAGUCCUGUUACAGACAUGUGUAUCAGUACUUCUCAGAGUCCUGUUACAGACAUGUGUAUCAGUACUUCACUGAGUCCUGUUAGACAUGUGUAUCAGUACUUCUCAGAGUCCUGUUACAGACACGUGUAUCAGUACUUCACUGAGUCCUGUUACAGACACGUGUAUCAGUACUUCUCAGAGUCCUGUUACAGACACAUGUAUCAGUACUUCUCAGAGUCCUGUUAGACAUGUGUAUCAGUACUUCUCAGAGUCCUGUUACAGACGUGUAUCAGUACUUCACUGAGUCCUGUUACAGACAUGUGUAUCAGUACUUCUCAGAGUCCUGUUACAGACACGUGUAUCAGUACUUCACUAAGUCCUGUUACAGACACGUAUGUCAGUACUUCACCGAGUCGUGUUAUAAAACUCUGCCCCAGCUGAAUUCAUGGCACUGGAUGCCAGUAAACACUAUAAGAUGGAAAAAAAAAAGUUUGAAAGUUCAUAUAAACCUGAUGUUUUUUGAGAUUCUUUUUGUAUAUAUUGUAUUUUCUUUUUCUUCUUAGUUACCAUAU